CCUACGGGAGGCAGCAGUGAGGAAUAUUGCCCAAUGGACGCAAGUCUGAGGCAGCAACGCCGCGUGGGCGACGAAGGCCUUCGGGUUGUAAAGCCCUUUUCUGGGGGACGAGGAAGGACGGUACCUCAGGAAUAAGUCACGGCUAACUACGUGCCAGCAGCCGCGGUAAUACGUAGGUGGCGAGCGUUAUCCGGAUUUACUGGGCGUAAAGCGCGUGCAGGCGGUUCCGUAAGUCGGACGUGAAAGCUCCUGGCUUAACUGGGAGAGGUCGUUCGAUACUGCGGGACUUGAGGUUGGGAGAGGGACGUGGAAUUCCCGGUGUAGUGGUGGAAUGCGUAGAGAUCGGGAGGAACACCAGUGGCGAAGGCGGCGUCCUGGCCCAUACCUGACGCUAAGACGCGAAAGCGUGGGGAGCGAACGGGAUUAGAUACCCCGGUAGUCCACGCCGUAAACGGUGGAUACUAGGUGUUGGUGGCUAUCGUCAUCAGUGCCGUAGCUAACGCGUUAAGUAUCCCGCCUGGGAACUACGGCCGCAAGGCUAAAACUCAAAUGAAUUGACGG
rnacentral:rRNA from 2 species